rnacentral:tRNA from 1 species
GCCCGGAUGGCGCAACUGGCUGACGCGGUGGACUCAAAAUCCACUGUCCGCGAGGACAUGCGGGUUCGAAUCCCGCUCCGGGCA